UUGCUUUGGCAGCACAUAUACUAAAAUUGGAACAAUAAAGAGAAGAUUAGCAUGGCCCCUGCACAAGGAUGACAUGCAAAUUUGUGAAUUGUUCCAUAUUUUU
ensembl:snRNA U6 U6 spliceosomal RNA